rnacentral:rRNA from 1 species
UUGGAGGGCAAGUCUGGUGCCAGCAGCCGCGGUAAUUCCAGCUCCAAUAGCGUAUAUUAAAGUUGUUGCAGUUAAAAAGCUCGUAGUUGAAUUUCGGGGUUAGUAGGUGUGUAUGCCUACCGGUAUGUACUGGUCUUACUGAUUCCUCCUUCCUGAUGAACUGUAAUGCCAUUAAUUUGGUGUUGCAGGGAAUCUGGACUGUUACUUUGAAAAAAUUAGAGUGUUUAAAGCAGGCUAACGCUUGAAUACAUUAGCAUGGAAUAAUG